CACGUAGGGUGCGAGCGUUGUCCGGAAUUAUUGGGCGUAAAGAGCUCGUAGGCGGUUUGUCGCGUCUGCUGUGAAAACCCGAGGCUCAACCUCGGGCCUGCAGUGGGUACGGGCAGACUAGAGUUCGGCAGGGGAGACUGGAAUUCCUGGUGUAGCGGUGAAAUGAGCGGCAGAUAGUCAGGGAGGAACACCGGUGGGCGAAGGC
rnacentral:rRNA from 1 species